ACUCCUACGGGAGGCAGCAGUGGGGAAUAUUGGACAAUGGGCGCAAGCCUGAUCCAGCCAUGCCGCGUGAGUGAUGAAGGCCCUAGGGUUGUAAAGCUCUUUCACCGGUGAAGAUAAUGACGGUAACCGGAGAAGAAGCCCCGGCUAACUUCGUGCCAGCAGCCGCGGUAAUACGAAGGGGGCUAGCGUUGUUCGGAUUUACUGGGCGUAAAGCGCACGUAGGCGGACUAUUAAGUCAGGGGUGAAAUCCCGGGGCUCAACCCCGGAACUGCCUUUGAUACUAGUAGUCUUGAGUUCGAGAGAGGUGAGUGGAAUUCCGAGUGUAGAGGUGAAAUUCGUAGAUAUUCGGAGGAACACCAGUGGCGAAGGCGGCUCACUGGCUCGAUACUGACGCUGAGGUGCGAAAGCGUGGGGAGCAAACAGGAUUAGAAACCCCUGUAGUCCCAUG
rnacentral:rRNA from 1 species